GACGAACGCUGGCGGCGUGCUUAACACAUGCAAGUCGAACGGAAAGGCCCUGCUUUUGUGGGGUGCUCGAGUGGCGAACGGGUGAGUAACACGUGAGUAACCUGCCCUUGACUUUGGGAUAACUUCAGGAAACUGGGGCUAAUACCGGAUAGGAGCUCCUGCUGCAUGGUGGGGGUUGGAAAGUUUCGGCGGUUGGGGAUGGACUCGCGGCUUAUCAGCUUGUUGGUGGGGUAGUGGCUUACCAAGGCUUUGACGGGUAGCCGGCCUGAGAGGGUGACCGGCAACAUUGGGACUGAGAUACGGCCCAGACUCCUACGGGAGGCAGCAGUGGGGAAUAUUGCACAAUGGGCGGAAGCCUGAUGCAGCAACGCCGCGUGCGGGAUGACGGCCUUCGGGUUGUAAACCGCUUUCGCCUGUGACGAAGCGUGAGUGACGGUAAUGGGUAAAGAAGCACCGGCUAACUACGUG
rnacentral:rRNA from 1 species